rnacentral:rRNA from 1 species
UACGUAGGGCGCAAGCGUUGUCCGGAAUUAUUGGGCGUAAAGAGCUCGUAGGUGGCUCGUCACGUCGACUGUGAAAUCCCAAGGCUCAACCUUGGGUCUGCAGUCGAUACGGGCGGACUUGAGUACUGCAGGGGAGACUGGAAUUCCUGGUGUAGCGGUGAAAUGCGUAGAGAUCCGGAAGAACACCGGUGGCGAAGGCGGCCUGCUGGGCAGUGGCUGACGCUGAGGCGCGACAGCGUGGGGAGCAAACAGG